GAUGAACGCUGGCGGCGUGCCUAAUACAUGCCAGUCGAGCGAACAGACGAGGAGCUUGCUCCUCUGACGUUAGCGGCGGACGGGUGAGUAACACGUGGAUAACCUACCUAUAAGACUGGGAUAACUUCGGGAAACCGGAGCUAAUACCGGAUAAUAUAUUGAACCGCAUGGUUCAAUAGUGAAAGACGGUUUUGCUGUCACUUAUAGAUGGAUCCGCGCCGCAUUAGCUAGUUGGUAAGGUAACGACUUACCAAGGCGACGAUGCGUAGCCGACCUGAGAGGGUGAUCGGCCACACUGGAACUGAGACACGGUCCAGACUCCUACGGGAGGCAGCAGUAGGGAAUCUUCCGCAAUGGGCGAAAGCCUGACGGAGCAACGCCGCGUGAGUGAUGAAGGUCUUCGGAUCGUAAAACUCUGUUAUUAGGGAAGAACAAAUGUGUAAGUAACUAUGCACGUCUUGACGGUACCUAAUCAGAAAGCCACGGCUAACUACGUG
rnacentral:rRNA from 1 species